rnacentral:rRNA from 1 species
GUCUAUGGCCAUUCUACCCUGAACACACCCGAUCCCAUCUGAUCUCGGAAGCUAAGCAGAGUCGGGCCUGGUUAGUACUUGGAUGGGAGAUCACCUAGGAAGACCAGGUGCUAUAGGUG